UACGUAGGUGGCAAGCGUUGUCCGGAUUUAUUGGGUUUAAAGGGUGCGCAGGCGGGGGAUUAAGUCGGCGGUGAAAUUUUGCAGCUCAACUGUAAAAGUGCCUUCGAAACUGGUUUCCUUGAGUGUAGAUGAAGUAGGCGGAAUUUGUGGUGUAGCGGUGAAAUGCAUAGAUAUCACGAGGAACUCCGAUUGCGCAGGCAGCUUACUAAACUACUACUGACGCUCAGGCACGAAGGCGUGGGGAUCAAACAGGAUUAGAUACCCUGGUAGU
rnacentral:rRNA from 1 species